UGAGGGAAUAUUUGGGUCAAUGGACGGAAGUCUGAACCAGCCAAGUCGCGUGAAGGAAGACGGUUCUAUGGAUUGUAAACUUCUUUUGCCUGAGGGUAAAACGCGGUACGCGUACCGCCUUGUAAGUAUCAGGUGAAUAAGCAUCGGCUAACUCCGUGCCAGCAGCCGCGGUAAUACGGAGGAUGCGAGCGUUAUCCGGAUUUAUUGGGUUUAAAGGGUGCGUAGGCGGGAUGUUAAGUCAGCGGUGAAAGUUUGCGGCUCAACCGUAAAAUUGCCGUUGAAACUGGCGUUCUUGAGUGACAA
rnacentral:rRNA from 1 species